GGAGAAGUGGCAGAGAGGUUGAAUGCGCUGCUCUCGAAAAGCAGUAAGGGUUCACGCCCUUCGGGGGUUCGAAUCCCCCCUUCUCCGCCA
rnacentral:tRNA from 1 species